rnacentral:rRNA from 1 species
UUCCAGACUCCUACGGGAGGCAGCAGUGGGGAAUAUUGCACAAUGGGGGAAACCCUGAUGCAGCGACGCCGCGUGAAGGAAGAAGUAUUUCGGUAUGUAAACUUCUAUCAGCAGGGAAGAAAAUGACGGUACCUGACUAAGAAGCCCCGGCUAACUACGUGCCAGCAGCCGCGGUAAUACGUAGGGGGCAAGCGUUAUCCGGAUUUACUGGGUGUAAAGGGGGCGCAGACGGCGAUGCAAGCCAGGAGUGAAAGCCCGGGGCCCAACCCCGGGACUGCUCUUGGAACUGCGUGGCUGGAGUGCAGGAGGGGCAGGCGGAAUUCCUGGUGUAGCGGUGAAAUGCGUAGAUAUCAGGAGGAACACCGGUGGCGAAGGCGGCCUGCUGGACUGCAACUGACGUUGAGGCCCGAAAGCGUGGGGAGCAAACAGGAUUAGAUACCCUAGUA